AAGCUCGUAGUUGAAUUUCGGGGUUAGUAGGUUGGUCAUGCCUCUGGUAUGUACUGGUCUCACUGAUUCCUCCUUCCUGAUGAACCGUAAUGCCAUUAAUUUGGUGUUGCGGGGAAUUUGGACUGUUACUUUGAAAAAAUUAGAGUGUUUAAAGCAAGCUAACGCUUGAAUACAUUAGCAUGGAAUAAUGAAAUAGGACGUUCGAUCCUAUUUUGUUGGUUUCUAGGAUUGUCGUAAUGAUUAAUAGGGAUAGUUGGGGGCAUUAGUAUUCAAUUGUCAGAGGUGAAAUUCUUGGAUUUAUUGAAGACUAACUACUGCGAAAGCAUUUGCCAAGGAUGUUUUCAUUAAUCAAGAACGAAAGUUAGGGGAUCGAAGACGAUCAGAUACCGUCGUAGUCUUAACCAUAAACUAUGCCGACUAGGGAUCGGAUGAUGUUAAUUUUUUAAUGACUCAUUCGGCGCCUUACGGGAAACCAAAGUGUUUGGGUUCCGGGGGGAGUAUGGUCGCAAGGCUGAAACUUAAAGGAAUUGACGGAAGGGCACCACCAGGGGUGGAGCCUGCGGCUUAAUUUGACUCAACACGGGGAAACUCACCAGGUCCAGACAUAGUAAGGAUUGACAGACUGAGAGCUCUUUCUUGAUUCUAUGGGUG
rnacentral:rRNA from 1 species